GGGGCUGAUCGGUUUCGACUCUGUGCGUCGAGUUGGGGGAAGCGUGUCGGUGCAGGCUAGAGACCACCGUUAAGCGUCGCAGCAACCAAUUAAGCGCCGAUUCCAAUCAGCGCGACUACGCUCUCGCUGCCUAAGCAGCCUGGCUAGUCUGUCGGCCCGGGUGGUGUUCCCACACCCGGAUGCCGGCAUCAGCUUAGGGAACUCACCGACGCCGCCGGUCGCGGGCGGAGUCGGGACACUCAACAGCGACUGGGAUCGUCUUCUCGGCUUGUUCGCGUGACCGGGAGAUCCGAGUAGAGACACAGCGGACUGCACACGGAGAAGCCCCAGUGAAGCGGCGGAGGACCCGGGUUCAAUUCCCGGCAGCUCCACGA
rfam:Gordonia araii NBRC 100433 DNA, contig: GOARA059.